CCGACAACAAAUAUGGCUGCGGGGAUUCCCCCAAGGGCAUAAGGCGAGGAUCAAUGCUAGUUCCUGUGCUGAGGCAGUGGAAAUACAAUCAUUGGACUUGAGGUCAGGACUGAGGACAUCUGUCUGAGCCUUCAGGGGCUGAGUCACUGGCUUACUUGGACUCUUCCAUGCCGUCCCUAGGGGUGGGUUGAGUCACUGAUGUGAUAUUCCUGUCCGGAUUGGCGCACCCCUUGGGUUGUGCCAUGGAGGAGAUCUUCGUGGGCUAUACUCGGCCUUGUCUCAGGAUGGUAAGUUAGUGGUUGAAGAUAUCCCUCUAGUGG